rnacentral:rRNA from 1 species
GUAAGGAAUAUUGGACAAUGGUCGCAAGACUGAUCCAGCCAUGCCGCGUGCAGGAUGAACGAUCUAUGAUCUGUAAACUGCUUUUGUUCGGGAAUAAACCCCUUCACGUGUGGAGGGCUGAAUGUACCGAAAGAAUAAGGGUCGGCUAACUUCGUGCCAGCAGCCGCGGUAAGACGAAGGACCCAAGCGUUAUCCGGAUUUAUUGGGUUUAAAGGGUGCGUAGGCGGGUUGUUAAGUCAGUGGUGAAAGCCUAGAGCUUAACUCUAGAAUUGCCAUUGAUACUGACGAUCUUGAGGAUAGUUGAGGUGGGCGGAAUGUAUCAUGUAGCGGUGAAAUGCUUAGAGAUGAUACAGAACACCGAUUGCGAAGGCAGCUCACUAAGCUAUUUCUGACGCUGAGGCACGAAAGCGUGGGGAUCAAACAGGAUUAGAAACCCCAGUAGUCC